rnacentral:rRNA from 1 species
GAUGAACGCUGGCGGCGUGCCUAAUACAUGCAAGUCGAGCGAACGGACGAGAAGCUUGCUUCUCUGAUGUUAGCGGCGGACGGGUGAGUAACACGUGGAUAACCUACCUAUAAGACUGGGAUAACUUCGGGAAACCGGAGCUAAUACCGGAUGAUAUUUUGAACCGCAUGGUUCAAAAGUGAAAGACGGUCUUGCUGUCACUUAUAGAUGGAUCCGCGCUGCAUUAGCUAGUUGGUAAGGUAAUGGCUUACCAAGGCAACGAUGCAUAGCCGACCUGAGAGGGUGAUCGGCCACACUGGAACUGAGACACGGUCCAGGCUCCUACGGGAGGCAGCAGUAGGGAAUCUUCCGCAAUGGGCGAAAGCCUGACGGAGCAACGCCGCGUGAGUGAUGAAGGUCUUCGGAUCGUAAAACUCUGUUAUUAGGGAAGAACAUAUGUGUAAGUAACUGUGCACAUCUUGACGGUACCUAAUCAGAAAGCCACGGCUAACUACGUG